CAUGAUUUGGACACCUUCAUCUCUGUUUGCUGAGCUCCAUUGCAGUGAUUUAUGUGCUGUCUGUCAUCCAGAGCACUGGGGGAAGGAAGGGCGAUAAACAAAUAAUAAUCAGCAGAGAUAACACAGAAAUGAGUCCCCAAAUGCUACCCCCAAGCAGGUAGCAAAUACUAAGGUCCCAAGGAAAGAAGUGGGGGGAAUGGGGCUCUCAGGUCUCCAGGAGAAAGGCAAAAGAGAGGAGCUUUGGCAGGGGGUUCAACCCCACGGAGAAGUGGUCCAGCACCAUGAUCUUUGAAGGACAUGGGCUACACCAGAGCAGAUUGGCUGUGGACAAGGAAAAAGAAAUGUGAUAUCAGGAGACAGGGAAAGGAGAGCUGCUCCAAAGCACCUGGGAAAUACCUGGAGCAGCAAGUGAUGGUGGGUCUCAACACCACGCCAUGGUGGAGAAGCUGUAGAGAAAAGUUGUGGGGAGCCAGCAGGAGAGGCCUCCUGAGCAGGGAGAGGUUGGGGAGAUUGUUUGUUAUUCUUAGGUUCUUGCAGAAGAACCGCUGUCCGGUGGGCACUCGAGUGCUGAAGAGAAGCAGACACCACCAUCACCCUUCAGAAAUGCCUCGCCUGGGUCCUUUCCUGCCCUUCCCAGUGGGAAGGCACCCGGAGGCUGGACCCACCAGUCAGGAGACUGGGAAAGGCAGCAUCCCCUUGACUUCGUGUGUGGCUGGAGGUUUUCCCACCUCAGCACCGGUCAUAGGUUUGAGCCAGGACUUCAGGAACUCAUCGAGGCUGCCUUCAUCCCAGGAGCUCAAGGUGCUCAGCAAAUGGCUGAACUUCAUUUGA
rnacentral:lncRNA from 1 species